rnacentral:rRNA from 1 species
CCUACGGGUGGCUGCAGUGAGGAAUAUUGGUCAAUGGGCGGAAGCCUGAACCAGCCAAGUCGCGUGAAGGAAGAAGGCCCUAUUGUUUGUAAACUUCUUUUAUAGGGGAAUAAAGUUAUCCACGUGUGCCUUUUUGCAUGUACUCUAUGAAUAAGCAUCGGCUAACUCCGUGCCAGCAGCCGCGGUAAUACGGAGGCUGCGAGCGUUAUCCGGAUUUAUUGGGUUUAAGGGGGGCGUAGGAUGUUUUUUAAGUCCGUUGGUAAAGUUUGUGGCUUAACCGUAAAAUGGCAAUUGAUACUGGAAGACUGGAGUAUGACUGAGGUAGGCGGAAUUAGUGGUGUAGCGGUGAAAUGCUUAGAUAUCACGAAGAACUCCGAUUGCGAAGGCAGCUUACUAAGUCGAAACUGACAUUGAGGCACGAAAGCGUGGGGAUCAAACAGGAUUAGAUACCCCUGUAGUC